GUCGGAGUGGCGGAAUUGGCAGACGCGUACGUUUGAGGGGCGUAUGGGUUUCCCGUGCGGGUUCAAGUCCCGCCUCCGACACCAGCA
rnacentral:tRNA from 1 species